CAGCAGCAUUUUGUACAGGUCCUCUUGAAGGCUCUUCCUGGACUUUGCCAUCGAUUUCAUAUGUCUUUUACUUUCAAUUGAUUUGUAAGGAGUGAGAGGAAGCAAUGGACUCAAUGCUGUGCUAUCAGUGGUGCCACGGGCCAAUUGACUUUGAGAUUUAAAAUAGGACAUCUCAUUUAUUCUGCAUUGUUGCUAAAUAAG